ACGAACGCUGGCGGCGUGCCUAAUACAUACAAGUUGAGCGAUGAAGAUUGGUGCUUGCACCAAUUUGAAGAGCAGCGAACGGGUGAGUAACGCGUGGGGAAUCUGCCUUUGAGCGGGGGACAACAUUUGGAAACGAAUGCUAAUACCGCAUAACAACUUUAAACAUAAGUUUUAAGUUUGAAAGAUGCAAUUGCAUCACUCAAAGAUGAUCCCGCGUUGUAUUAGCUAGUUGGUGAGGUAAAGGCUCACCAAGGCGAUGAUACAUAGCCGACCUGAGAGGGUGAUCGGCCACAUUGGGACUGAGACACGGCCCAAACUCCUACGGGAGGCAGCAGUAGGGAAUCUUCGGCAAUGGACGAAAGUCUGACCGAGCAACGCCGCGGGAGUGAAGAAGGUUUUCGGAUCGUAAAACUCUGUUGGUAGAGAAGAACGUUGGUGAGAGUGGAAAGCUCAUCAAGUGACGGUAACUACCCAGAAAGGGACGGCUAACUACGUG
rnacentral:rRNA from 1 species